rnacentral:rRNA from 1 species
GAUGAACGCUGGCGGCGUGCCUAAUACAUGCAAGUCGAGCGAACAGACGAGGAGCUUGCUCCUUUGACGUUAGCGGCGGACGGGUGAGUAACACGUGGGUAACCUACCUAUAAGACUGGGAUAACUUCGGGAAACCGGAGCUAUACCGGAUAAUAUUUCGAACCGCAUGGUUCGAUAGUGAAAGAUGGCUCUGCUAUCACUUAUAGAUGGACCUGCGCCGUAUUAGCUAGUUGGUAAGGUAACGGCUUACCAAGGCAACGAUACGUAGCCGACCUGAGAGGGUGAUCGGCCACACUGGAACUGAGACACGGUCCAGACUCCUACGGGAGGCAGCAGUAGGGAAUCUUCCGCAAUGGGCGAAAGCCUGACGGAGCAACGCCGCGUGAGUGAUGAAGGUCUUCGGAUCGUAAAACUCUGUUAUUAGGGAAGAACAAACGUGUAAGUAACUGUGCACGUCUUGACGGUACCUAAUCAGAAAGCCACGGCUAACUACGUG